UGGGAAGUAUUGCACAAUGGGCGCAAGCCUGAUGCAGCCAUGCCGCGUGUAUGAAGAAGGCCUUCGGGUUGUAAAGUACUUUCAGCGAGGAGGAAGGCGUUGUGGUUAAUAACCGCAGCGAUUGACGUUACUCGCAGAAGAAGCACCGGCUAACUCCGUGCCAGCAGCCGCGGUAAUACGGAGGGUGCAAGCGUUAAUCGGAAUUACUGGGCGUAAAGCGCACGCAGGCGGUCUGUCAAGUCGGAUGUGAAAUCCCCCGGGCUCAACCUGGGAACUGCAUCCGAAACUGGCAGGCUAGAGUCUUGUAGA
rnacentral:rRNA from 1 species